rnacentral:rRNA from 1 species
UACGGAGGGUGCAAGAGAUAUCCGGACUCACUGGGUUUAAAGGGUGCGUAGGCGGCUAAAUAAGUCAGAGGUGGAAGCUUGCAGCUUAACUGCGAAAUUGCCUUUGAUACUGUAUAGCUUGAAAGGAGCUGAGGUCAGCAGAAUGUGGCAUGUAGCGGUGAAAUGCAUAGAUAUGCCAUAGAAUACCAAUUGCGAAGGCAGCUGGCUGGGCUUACUUUGACGCUGAGGCACGAAAGCGUGGGGAUCGAACAGG